rnacentral:rRNA from 1 species
CAGCGGGGACAGAAACCUCGCGUAAGGCAAAAGCUGGCUUGAUCCUGACUUUCAGUACGAGUACGGACCGCGAAAGCGGGGCCUAACCAUCCUUUCAAGUUUACGAGUUUUAAGCGAGAGGUGUCAGAAAAGUUACUACAGGGAUAACUGACUUGUGGUGGUCAAGCGUUCAUAGCGACGUCGCUUUUUGAUCUUUUGAUGUCGGCUCUUCCUAUCAUUGCGAAGCAGAAUUCGCAAAGCGUUGAAUUGUUCACCCACUAACAGGGAAUGUGAGCUUGGUUUAGACCGUCGUGAGAUAGAUUAGUUUUACCCUUCUGAUGGAUGGUUUUUGCGAUAGCAAUCGAGCUGAGUACGAGAGGAACCGCAGGUUCGGAAAUUUGGUAUGUGCGCCUGGCCGGAAGGCAAACGGUGCUAGGCUACCGUCCGCGGGUUAACGGCUGAACGCCUCUAAGCCGGAAGUCCGCCUAACCGGUGGCAGAGAUAGCGUGUGCCGCCAGCCGUCGCUUGGCAGACUUAGGCAUCCUCCCGCGUUCGCGGAGGGGAGGCCGAAGAAGCCUUUUCCGUAAUCUGAGCAGUUUCUGGGGUCGACCCGACUGUGUCUCCCCUGUGCUCUUUGACCUGAGCCUCCCGGUUCGAAGGAGGUGUGAUGCGGUGGUGCCGAAUCGUCCCUAGACGACUCACCUACUGGUCGGGGUGUCGUAAGUGCAAGAGCAGCCACCUUACUGCGAUCCACUGAAACUCGUCC